rnacentral:rRNA from 1 species
AGCGAACGCUGACGGCAGGCUUAACACAUGCAAGUCGAACGGGCGUAGCAAUACGUCAGUGGCAGACGGGUGAGUAACGCGUGGGAACGUACCUUUUGGUUCGGAACAACACAGGGAAACUUGUGCUAAUACCGGAUAAGCCCUUACGGGGAAAGAUUUAUCGCCGAAAGAUCGGCCCGCGUCUGAUUAGCUAGUUGGUGAGGUAAUGGCUCACCAAGGCGACGAUCAGUAGCUGGUCUGAGAGGAUGAUCAGCCACAUUGGGACUGAGACACGGCCCAAACUCCUACGGGAGGCAGCAGUGGGGAAUAUUGGACAAUGGGCGAAAGCCUGAUCCAGCCAUGCCGCGUGAGUGAUGAAGGCCCUAGGGUUGUAAAGCUCUUUUGUGCGGGAAGAUAAUGACGGUACCGCAAGAAUAAGCCCCGGCUAACUUCGUGCCAGCCGCCGCAGUAAGAC